rnacentral:rRNA from 1 species
GACCUCAAAUCAGGUAGGACUACCCGCUGAACUUAAGCAUAUCAAUAAGCGGAGGAAAAGAAACUAACAAGGAUUCCCCUAGUAACUGCGAGUGAAGCGGGAAAAGCUCAAAUUUAAAAUCUGGCGGUCUUUGGCCGUCCGAGUUGUAAUCUAGAGAAGUGUUAUCCGCGNUGGACCGUGUACAAGUCUCCUGGAAUGGAGCGUCAUAGAGGGUGAGAAUCCCGUCUUUAACACGGACUGCCAGGGCUUUGUGAUGCGCUCUCAAAGAGUCGAGUUGUUUGGGAAUGCAGCUCAAAAUGGGUGGUAAAUUCCAUCUAAAGCUAAAUAUUGGCGAGAGACCGAUAGCGAACAAGUACCGUGAGGGAAAGAUGAAAAGAACUUUGGAAAGAGAGUUAAACAGUACGUGAAAUUGCUGAAAGGGAAACGCUUGAAGUCAGUCGCGUUGGCCGGGGAUCAACCUUGCUUUUGCUGGGCGUACUUUCCGGUUGACGGGUCAGCAUCAAUUUUGACCGUUGGAAAAAGGCCAGGGGAAUGUGGCAUCUUCGGAUGUGUUAUAGCCUUUGGUCGCAUACAACGGUUGGGAUUGAGGAACUCAGCACGCCGAAAGGCCGGGUUUUUAACCACGUUCGUGCUUAGGAUGCUGGCAUAAUGGCUUUAAUCGACCCGUCUUGAAACACGGACCAAGGAGUCUAACAUGCCUGCGAGUGUUUGGGUGGAAAACCCGAGCGCGUAAUGAAAGUGAAAGUUGAGAUCCCUGUCGCGGGGAGCAUCGACGCCCGGACCAGACCUUUUGUGACGGAUCCGCGGUAGAGCAUGUAUGUUGGGACCCGAAAGAUGGUGAACUAUGCCUGAAUAGGGUGAAGCCAGAGGAAACUCUGGUGGAGGCUCGUAGCGAUUCUGACGUGCAAAUCGAUCGUCAAAUUUGGGUAUAGGGGCGAAAGACUAAUCGAACCAUCUAGUAGCUGGUUCCU